rnacentral:sRNA from 1 species
AAAAAUGUUACGUGGUAUGUAUAAUGUUACUAUAUAUAAAAUUAAACUAUAAAAUAUAAAUGUAUUAGAAAAUGAUACAAUUUACAAAACUUUUAUAUAUAAUAAAUAAUUCUUAAAUUUUUAAAAUUACUACUUUAAUUAAAAAAUUACGGGACGGGUAAAGAAAUUAUAGAACGAGUUUUAUUUUGGAAUUGAGUUAUAUGGUGGAUGUAUUUGAAUCAAUAUUUAUAAAAUUUUAAAAU